rnacentral:rRNA from 1 species
GAUGAACGCUGGCGGCGUGCCUAACACAUGCAAGUCGAACGGAGAUUACAGACGGAAGUUUUCGGAUGGAAGACUGUAAUUCUUAGUGGCGGACGGGUGAGUAACGCGUGGGCAACCUGCCCUAUACAGGGGGAUAGCAGCUGGAAACGGCUGGUAAGACCGCAUAAGUCGGUUAAAUCGCAUUAUUUGACCGGGAAAUGAGCAAUCAGGUAUAGGAUGGGCCCGCGUCCGAUUAGCCAGUUGGCAGGGUAAAAGCCUACCAAAGCGACGAUCGGUAGCCGGACUGAGAGGUCGGACGGCCACAUUGGGACUGAGACACGGCCCAAACUCCUACGGGAGGCAGCAGUGGGGGAUAUUGCACAAUGGAGGAAACUCUGAUGCAGCGACGCCGCGUGAGUGAAGAAGUAUUUCGGUAUGUAAAGCUCUAUCAGCAGGGAAGAUGAUGACGUACCUGACUAAGAGCCCCG